AUGCUUGCUUCGGCAGCAUCUGUACUAAAAUUGGAAUGACACGAAGACUGGCAUGGCCCCUGCGCAAGGAUGACAUGCAAAUUAGUGAAGCUUUCUGCAUUUAA
rnacentral:snRNA from 1 species